CUCAUUAUGUUUCCAGGCUAGUCUCAAAUUCCUGGCCUCAAGUGACCCUCCUGCCUCGGCCUCCCAAAGGCUGGGAUUACAGGCAUAAACCUCCAUGCCCAACCAUGAAGUUGCUAUUUUUAAAGAUAUUUAAUUGAAAACACAGUUUUAAUAAAUGUAUUUAUUCAAAAAGAGUUAUUCAUCAUCAAAACACAGCCUCUGCUUGCAAGGAACCCAAAAUCUGCUAGGAAGAGAAAGAAUAAAAAUAAAUAACUUUAGUACAGUAUUAUUCUUUCAAAAUAGAAUGAUUUGGGCACAAAAUCAUUCAGAAAGAGCAGGGAAAACUUCAUCAAAAAGAUAACUUUUGACCAGGGUCUUAAAAGGUAAGUAAACAUUCUCCAGGUAGAUGGGAGUGAGUCAUGAUAAAAGUGUGUUGUUAUCUGAGAAAUUCAAUUCCACAUGGCUAGAACAAAGGGUAUGAGAAACUAUCCUUAACUGCGAAAUCUGUAGGCAGCAGAUAGCUAAUAGAAUACCUUAAACAUGGUGCUAAGGAAUUGUGACUUUAUCCAAUUGGUGAUGAGGAACCAGAGAAGAGUUUCAAUGAAGAUUAAUAAUUAGAUCUUUAUGUGUAAAUAUAGAUAUGGAGAGGAUAAUACUGGAGUCAAGAAGAUAAGUUAAUAUGUUGUUACAACAGUCUGGAUAAGAGGUGAUGAGGUCUAAAAUUGAGAAUAGAGCAAUGGGAAUGUAGAAAGAAAUCUGAGAUAAUUUAGGGGUGAUAAAAUUGAGUAAAUUUCAAAUGAGCUUUCCUUUUCUUAAAAAGUAAUUUUCUAACAAAUUGCUGCGCUGGCAACACAGAGCUGGAGAUCAGAUAGGGCGGGAUGACUUUGGACUUUGAAAUCAGAGAAGCCUGGACUUGAGACCCAAAUCCAUCACCUCCAAGUCUGAACAUGAGGAAAAACAUCAGACAAACUCAAUGGAAAGACAAUCUACAAAGCACUUUACUAGUACUCCUCAAAAUUGUCAUGGUCAUGAAAAACAAGGAAAGUUGAAGAAACUGUCACAGACCAAAGGAGACUAUGAAGACACGAUGACUAAAUGUAAUGUGGUAUCCUGGGUGUGGCCUUGGAAUAAAACAGGAUAUCACUUUAAAAAGUGUGAAAUCCUAACAGCAUGUGGAGUUUAGUUAAUAUUCAUGUACCAUUGUUGGUUUCUUGAUUGUAACAAAUGUAGUGUGAAAAUGCAGGAUGUUAACAGUAAGAGAAACUGGCUGAGGAUAUGUAGGAACUCUGUACUUUCUUUGCAACAUUACUAUAAAUAUAAAGCUAUUCUAAAAUUAAAAUUUAUUAAGCCUUUUAAAAAGCUGAUAGAAAAAAACAAAAACAACAACAAACAUCAAUUUCUGGGCUCCACUCUAAGUCAUUUAAAUUUGAAUCUUUGUGAAUGCUCAUCAACUGUUUUUAAUGUACAGCUUGCUUGAAAACCAUCGUCCUGCUUGAACGUUCCCAAUACAGCUUCUCUAGUAUCUCUUCACUAUUUCUCUAAUAAUCCACUACUCUCUCCCUCACACGAUAUACAGCGGCCACUCUGCCCUGCUUGCUAUUGCCCAAAUGUGCCAGGAAUAUUUGAGUUUCACAACCUUUACAAUUAUUGUUCCCUCUCACUAGAACACAACUUCACUUAAAUAACAGUAUCGCUUGCUCUCUUGCUUACUUAAGAUCUGUAUAAAAACAAAAACAAAAGCAAAAAAAAAAUUGUCACUUUAUUAUAGGAUUCCCCAGGACCACCUUUCUAAAAAUAGCAACCACUUCACCACCAGAGCUAACUUAUUCCGUUUACCUUAUUCUGUUUUACUUUUCUUCACAGGAUUUAAGAUUGCCUGGCAUUUUAUUACACGUUACGUGCUGAUUUUGUGCCCUACUAAAAGCUAAGCUUCAUGAUAAUUGGGACUUUGUUUUGUUUAUUGUUGUAUCCUCACUGUGCCUGGGAACUUUACAUCCUGUGCCUGGAACACUGAUUGUCAUGUAUUGGAUGUUCAAUAAAUGUUUGUGGAAUGCUUGAAUGAAUUCAUGAAUGAAUGAGGAAAACUGACAAGGAAAUCAGUGUGAUGCUGCCACAAAAAAAAAAAAAAAAUGCUAUGAUACAUGGAAGCAAGGGUGCUUGGGAAUGGGUCUCGACAGGCAACCAGCGCAGCCUGGGGAAGUUCCUGGAAGAUCUGUCAGAGGACAUGUUCCUGAAGGAAGUUGUAAAGGGUAAAAGAUUGUUGCUUAAGAAAACUGCACUGAGGCUAGAAUUUCAGACAGGGAAGGCAUUAGAACAAAGACCUCAGAAGGUCUAGGAGUUGCAUAGUUCAGUAGGACCGGGGUGUGGAGAAGAGCAAGCUGGGGUUUAUGCCUCAAGGUGAGGUGAGGCUCAAAUGGAAGGCUAUGAAGAAGCAUAUAGGCCCCCUAUGAUCAAUUCCACAUGGAAUUGGUCAUGAGGAGUUAGCCUAGAUUAUCUUGGCUAAUAGCAAGUGCUCAAUAAAUGCUUGUUGAAUGAAUAGCCAAUAAUCAUAAGAAAUAAUAUGUGGUCCAUUUCUCAUACUGAAAAUGUUCACUGAUACCAGUCUCUAAACAUAGAUCCCUUCUAUAUCUCUCUGCAUAUAGAUUAUUUACAUUGACAUAUUUGA
rnacentral:lncRNA from 1 species